UACAGGGGGUGCAAACGUUGCUCGGAAUCACUGGGCGUAAAGGGUGCGUAGGCGGGUCUUUAAGUCAGGGGUGAAAUCCUGGAGCUCAACUCCAGAACUGCCUUUGAUACUGAGGAUCUUGAGUUCGGGAGAGGUGAGUGGAACUGCGAGUGUAGAGGUGAAAUUCGUAGAUAUUCGCAAGAACACCAGUGGCGAAGGCGGCUCACUGGCCCGGUACUGACGCUGAGGUGCGAAAGCGUGGGGAGCAAACAGG
rnacentral:rRNA from 1 species